AGUUUAAAACGACAUUUUUAUUAGGGAGGUUCUUUGUAACUGCCAUAAUUUUCUGUAUUUUCGGCGGUACAUGUUGUCGUAACUUCCUUUUUGAAUAUGGCAGUUUUUGUGAUUUCGACGGUUAGAACCACCGAUAUAUUAUUUUAUUAAUUAAAGAAAAACCUCAUUUAUGCAAACCUAGCUUAGCAAGUAGAGUGCGCGAGAGUGAGUGUUCUCCUCCAGCGAUGCCUCAUCAGAGUUCAUAGCUUCCAUUGAUGUGAUCUGCGUUCUCACUUCUAGCAUGUAAGCCCAACACAGAGGUUUUAAAUUGAAUGCUCCAGAUGAAAGAGUGAUUAGUGUUGCUGCGUAUGAGAAAGUGAGUGAUGUGAAUGAUGGACCCUAAUCUCUUGUCCCCGUUCAUCUUCCGCAGCUAUCGUUCAUCUCGUCAUUGUUUCUCAUCCCCUUGCGCCACCAAUUAGAUCUUCCAAAAUUUUUUACGGCCUCUUUGAUUGGGAAUUCAUUGUGAAAUGCAAAUCGUUGAUUAAACAAUCAAGGAAUCGGAUCAGAUAAGGAGAAAGAGGAAUUCAUCAAAGAAGUUUCGUAAGCGAGACACCAUUGAUCUGCUUGCGAAUCAUUUAUAGGUUGCUUACAAUAGAGUAAUUGAUUUAUUUUUUCUACUUCUGUUUCAUGAAAUUUAGGAAACCUGUAUGUAUAAACUAGCGGUUUUAUUCUUUAAUUGUAAUUACUUUCGUAUACAAUUAGUAAACCACGGUGUUUGAUAUAUGAAUUACUAUAGUUGUUAUUAUACUGAGCUAGGACCAAAUAUAAAGUCUGAGUCUAUUUUAACAUUUUUAAUCAAUUUUUAGUAUUGAGUGAAGAAGUAAAAACAUAAAAAUGAGAAUUUUGCUUGUGUCUCUUAGAUGUCAAAUCCCUUUUUAUGCGUGUCUUGUGAAUUUAAAUGCAUCACAUACAUUUUAUAAUCUAGAUCAGUAGUAAAAACACCCAAAAAAUCCUAAUAUACUUGAAUCUCUUCUGAUAUUUUAAGUCAUGUAAACAUUAUGCAUGAAAAUCACUUGCUAUUUGAAUGUUCAUUAUAAUGAUGGUAAAUGGUUAGGGAUGUACUUUAUUUACAUAUGAACAAUUGGAUAUUGCUGAUAAGAGGCUUUGGAAUUGAAAAGGAAAGAACUCAUGAGAAGCACAAAGAAGUGCAGACGCGGCAAUUAUAGGUGGCUUGAAUUCCAAAAACUUUAUCUCUGCAUUAUCAUAGCAUAAGAAGCAAGCACUAUUAUUCAUUAUUAUUUGGUUUUUUGCAAGUUUGUUCACUGGUAUUGAUGAUCCAUAUGAACCACCAAGUAGUUAUGAAGUAUGUAUUUCAGUAUUUAUAUGUAGUUGUUAUGUUGUGUGUAUACCUGGUAUCUUUGAAGGAGGAAAAUACUAAUUAGCUGAGAAAGCACUUCGAAUGCACUUAGUCCUUUUUCAUUUUCUGCACCAGCAAAUUCUAGAUUUGCCUUUAAGAAUAUUGAUGUCACAUUUGUGGUGUCCAUGACAAAACAUUAAGGAGAAUCCAUAGGGGACUGGAAUUACUUGGGUGAUCUUGCUUGUUUACAAAGGACUGUAUGGCGAAGGUGACUCAGUGAAGCGAGAGUUUGCAGCAGCUUCUAGUUACUAUUUACAAGCUAAUUCUCUAUGGCCUUCUAGUGGAAAUUCCCAUCAUCAGGGGAGAGUGAUGUGAACGACGAACCCUAAUCUCUUGUCGUCGUUCAUCUUCCACCUCUCUCAUACAUCUCUUUGCUGCCGCCCGUUGCAGCUCAUCUCCUCGUCAGCGUCGCCGCUGCAAACAAGGUCGUUGUUGUUGCCUUCAACGAGCUCUGCGAUUUGGUUGCGCCUUCUUUGUCACUUCCAAUAGUUUAUGAUCUCGUAGGAAUAAAUAGAUAAUGCUUGCUCACUGAGUCACGCCAGUAAAUCAGAUCUACGAAAAUGUUCGACGGCAUCCUCGGUCAAAGAUUCUUCGCGAAAUGGUUCCGUACUUUGAUUUCUUUUUCCUUCUUCAUGCCUUUCAAUUAUUGCGGUUAUGCUGAUUAUGAUUUUCAAUUUCUUAUUUUAUCUGCUUUUAUUUUUUCUGUGAAUCGUUGAUUAAACAGACAAAGUUUAGAAUCCAAUCAAUGUGAUAAGGAGAAAGAGGACCGCGAUGGAGAAGUUUGUUAAGAUUUUCUUACAAUAGUCUUUUUUACUGUUUUUUUUAGGAAAUUUGUUGAUUCGAUUGUGAUAGAUGGAUGAGAUUCUUCACUGGAGUUGAUAUAUGAAUUCAUCAAUACACAACUUCAGAAGAAUGUGCUAGUUUUAAUCUUUCGUGAUUCAACGAUAGUCAAAAGAUUUUGAGACAUUGUUUUGUUUUUAGAAUGUAAAUUGAUCGAGCUGAGAAAAUGUUUCUAUUUCUAAAAUUUGAUGCAUAUGAAUGAUGAAAGAUUCUGAUGUUAGUAUUCUUGUUUAGUUGGAAGUGAAUUUUGGAGAGCAUCUAUAAAGUUGUGUAGAAGGUUAGGUAUUUGUCUUGCACUCUUGCUUGUUUACUAUCUUUGUUCUAUAUGCAAUUUUUUAUUACAAGAAAGAAGUAGGUUUUGGAAACCACUUUAUGUCGUAGUUUCUAUGCUUUGCUGAUAUGCUCAGGUUUUUCUUUAAGUCCAUUCUCAAGAAAUAUGGAAAAGACCUUUUUAACCAAUGUGUUUCAACAACUAGAGGUAAUUAUAUUUGGAGCAUAAUUUUUAUUAGCAUGCUGGAUGAUUUUUUUUUCUUUUUCUGUUUGUUUUGAACUAUGAUAACAAACUGUUUAUGUGUGAUGCAUUGAGAACUUGGCUCUAUUAAUCAAAUUUGUUCUAACCAAGAUUUGAACUGUCCAUAUUUUCUUUGAUUCAAUUUUUAAUUAUCAUAGAUUCAUAUAAAAGCAUGCAAGAAAAUAUCCUGGCUUCUUGCUAUUCAGUGACCUCCGUAUUUAUAGCUCUUUUCUUUUACAUGGAGGAUCUUGUAAUAUUCAUUUAGAGACUUUUUAUGAACUUUAUUUUCUGCUUGCACUAUUGUGCAAGCUAAAAUUGUUAUUGUGUGUGCUUUAAUUUUCAUCAUACAAUUUUAGACUCUGUUGUGUAUACUUAUUGCUAAUGGAUGUUUCUAUGUGAUUUUAGAUUUUAAAAAAUAAUAGUGAUGGAUCUAAGAAUGGGUCCUUGCUGCAAAUUAUGAAUCGCACCCUUACUAUAUUCGGUUCUAGGCUUCUUAGGCAUUGGGUAUCUCAUCCAUUAUGGGAUCAGACCAUGAUUUCUGCUUGUCUUCAUGCUGUAUCUGAAAUUGCAGAAUCCAUGAAAUCGUGUAGCAAAUAUUGGAGCUUUAUUUGUUUUGUUGAGCUGAACCAUUUCAAGAAUGUUCCUGAUUUGGAGUUUAGUUUCCAGCAAGACUCUGAGUCAAAGCUAAUUAAAAGGCUUUGACUACUAAUAUACAUCAACAGUUAAUUAAAAAGCAAUGAUGGUUAUGAAAUCACUUGUAAAUGCAUCCCUGGUUAACAAGAAGUGGAGGGAAUGAGAUUGAAGGAGAUGGAAGCCAACUUGACAUGGGAAUGCUCGACUUCAACAGGGUCAAGGCUUCGGUGGGCAAAGGAAGGGACUUGUCACAAACAAAAUAUGUGACUGAUCUUUUGUCCAUUCAUUCCCACAGCUAAAUAUGAUACAGUAUUAAAAUUUAUAUAAUCAAGACUUCGAUCGUUGUUGAUUUUGUGUCGAAUCUCAAAUUUGGAUAAUUAUUAUUCAUAAUUGAGAUGGUUUUGUAGUCAUAUAUAUCUAUCAUGGCAGUGGGCUUGAACAAUAGUAUUUCUAUUUUAUUUGUAAUUCAUUAAUUCCAGAAUUGUGUUCUUUAUUUAAAUAUGAUUUCAUGGUUGGUGCUGAUUGUUGCAAUCACACUAUGUUUUGUUGCUCUGUUCCUUCAAAGAACAACUCCAACAACAUGUUUGUGUCCAUGCAAUGGAAGCAAUAAUGGCUUGCUGGGAGAUUGAGCAAUCCUUAAAAAAUCUAACAGGAAAAAGUUGGGCGUGAAAAUAAGCACUUUAGAAGCAAAUAAUUAAGACAAAAGAAGGAUUGGAGUGAGGACAGAGAUUAUUAUGACAAAGUGCACCAAAAGCUAUGAUGGAAAUU